GCGCCAAGGGAGUCCUACUCCCACCGGGAGUAGGAUUCCUUCUUUCCUAGUCCAACUAGGUCAAGGGGGGAAAGAAGGGAAGUGGGGAAGGAAGGGAGAGGGGGGCCGCGCCCCAAACCCUUUGUCCAAUUCGGACUGGGCUUGGGAGGGGCGCGCGCCUCCUCCUGGCUCCUUCCCACUAAAGCCCAUUAAGGCCCAAUACUCUUCCCCAUAUUCCCGUAACUCCCCGGUACUCCGAAAAAUACCCGAAUCACUCGGAACCUUUCCGAACUCCGAAUAUAGUCGUCCAAUAUAUCGAUCUUUACAUCUCGACCAUUUCGAGACUCCUCGUCAUGUCCCCGAUCUCAUCCGGGACUCCGAACUCCUUCGGUACAUCAAAACUCAUAAACUCAUAAUAAAACUGUCAUCAAAACCUUAAGCGUGCGGACCCUACGGGUUCGAGAACUAUGUAGACAUGACCUAAAACCAUUCUCGGUCAAUAACCAAUAGCGGGACCUGGAUGCCCAUAUUGGUUCCUACAUAUUCUACGAAGAUCUUUAUCGGUCAAACCGCAUAAUAACAUACUUUGUUCCCUUUGUCAUCGGUAUGUUACUUGCCCGAGAUUUGAUCGUCGGUAUCCAAUACCUAGUUCAAUCUCGUUACCGGCAAGUCUCUUUACUCGUUCCGUAAUACGUCAUCUCAUAACUAACUCAUUAGUUAUAUGCUUGCAAGGCUUAGGUGAUGAGUAUUACCGAGAGGGCCCAGAGAUACCUCUCCGACAAUCGGAGUGACAAAUCCUAAUCUUGAAUUAUGCCAACCCAACAUGUACCUUCAGAAACACCUGUAGAGCACCUUUAUAAUCACCCAGUUACGUUGUGACGUUUGGUAGCACACAAAGUGUUCUUCCGGUAAACGGGAGUUGCACAAUCUCAUAGUUGCAGGAACUUUGUAUAAGUCAUGAAGAAAGCAAUAGCAACAUACUAAACGAUCAAGUGCUAAGCUAACGGAAUGGGUCAAGUCAAUCACAUCAUUCUCCUAAUGAUGUGAUCUCGUUAAUCAAAUGACAACUCUUUUGUCCAUGGCUAGGAAACAUAACCAUCUCUGAUAAACGAGCUAGUCAAGUAGAGGCAUACUAGUGACACUAUGUUUGUCUAUGUAUUCACAGAUGUAUUACGUUUCCGGUUAAUACAAUUCUAGCAUGAAUAAUAAACAUUUAUCAUGAAAUAAGGAAAUAAAUAAUAACUUUAUUAUUGCCUCUAGGGCAUAUUUCCUUCAGUCUCCCACUUGCACUAGAGUCAAUAAUCUAGUUCACAUCGCCAUGUGAUUUAACACCAAUAUUCAUAUCUGUAUAUGAUUAACACCCAUAGUUCACAUCGUCAUGUGACCAACACCCAAAGUGUUUACUAGAGUCAAUAAUCUAGUUCACAUCGCUUAUGUGAUUAACACCCAAAGAGUACUAAGGUGUGAUCAUGUUUUGCUCGUGAGAGAAGCUUAGUCAACGGGUCUGUCAUAUUCAGAGCCGUAUGUAUUUUGCAAAUAUUUUAUGUCCACAAUGCUCUGCACGGAGCUACUCUAGCUAAUUGCUCCCACUUUCAAUAUGUAUCCAGGUUGAGACUUAGAGUCAUCUGGAUCAGUGUAAAAGUUUGUACUGAUGUAACUUUUACAACAAACUCUUUUAUCACCUCCAUAAUCGAGAAACAUCUCCUUAGUUCUUACUAAGGAUAUCCUUGACCAAUGUCCAGUGAUCUACUCCUAGAUCACUAUUGUACUCCCUUGCCAAAUUCAGAGCAAAGUAUACAAUAGGUCUGGUACAUAGCAUAGCAUACUUUAUAGAACCUAUGACUGAGGCAUAGGGAAUGACUUUUCAUUCUUUUUCUAUUUUCUGUUGUGGUCGGGAUUUGAGUCUUACUCAAUUUCAUACCUUUGCAACACAGGCAAGAACUCUUUCUUUGACUGUUCCAUUUUGAACGAUUUCAAAAUCUUGCCAAGGUAUGUACUCAUUGAAAAUCUUAUCAAGCGUCUUGAUCUAUCUCAAUAGAUCUUGAUGCUCAAUAUGUAAGUAGCUUUUACUGAGGUCUUUUCUUUUUAAAGAACUCCUUUAAAACACUCCUUUAUGCUUUGCAGAAAAAUCCUACAUCAUUUCUGAUCAACAAUAUGUCACUCACAUAUACUAAUCAGAAAGGCUGUAGUGCUCCCACUCACUUUAUUGUAAAUACAGGCUUCAUCGUAAGUCCAUAUAAAACUAUAUGCUUUGAUCAACUUAUCAAAGCAUAUAUUCCAACUCCGAGAUGCUUGCACCAGUCCAUAGAUGGAUCGCUGGAGCUUGCACAUUUUGUUAGCACCUUUAGGAUUGACAAAACCUUCUGGUUGUAUCAUAUACAACUCUUCUUUAAUAAAUUUAAGGAAUGUAGUUUUGACAUCCAUUUGCCAAAUUUCAUAAAAUGUGGCAAUUGCUAACAUGAUUCGGACAGACUUUUAAGCAUCGAUACGAGUGAGAAAAUCUCAUUGUAUUCAACACUUUGAACUUUGUCAAAAACCAUUUUCGACAAGUCUAGCUUUGUAGAUAGUAACACUACUAUCAACGUCCGUCUUCCUCUUGAAGAUCCAUUUAUUCUUAAUGACUCACCGAUCAUCGGGCAAGUCAAUCAAAGUCUACACUUUGUUCUCAUACAUGGAUCAUAUCUCAGAUUUCAUGGCCUCAAGCCAUUUCGUGGAAUCUGGGCUCAUCAUCGCUUCCUCAUAGUUCGUAGGUUCAUCAUGGUCUAGUAACAUGACUUCCAGAACAUGAUUACUACACCACUCUGGUGCGGAUCUUACUCUGGAAGACCUACGAGGUUCUGUAGUAACUUGAUCUGAAGUUUCAUGAUCAAUAUCAUUAGCUUCCUCACUAAUUGGUGUAUUUGUCACAGGAACUAAUUUCUGUGAUAAACUACUUUCCAAUAAGGGAGCAGGUACAGUUACCUCAUCAAGUUCUACUUUCCUCCCACUCACUUCUUUCGAGAGAAACUUCUUCUCUAGAAAGGAUCCAUCUUAGCAACGAAUAACUUGCCUUCGGAUCUGUGAUAGAAGGUGUACCCAAUAGUUACCUUUGGGUAUUCUAUGAAGACGCACUUCUCCGAUUUGGGUUCGAGCUUAUCAGGUUGAAACUUUUUCACAUAAGCAUCGCAGCCCCAAAUUUUAAGAAACGACAACUUUUGGUUUCUCGCCAAACCACAGUUCAUAAGGCGUCGUCUCAACGGAUUUUGAUGGUGCCCUAUUUAAAGUGAAUGCAGCUGUGUCUAAUGCAUAACCCCAAAAUGAUAGUGGUAAAUCGGUAAGAGACAUCAUAGAUCGCACCAUAUCAAAUAAAGUGCGGUUACGACGUUCGGACACACCAUAACAUUGUGGUGUUCCAGGUGGCGUGAGCUGUGAAACUAUUCCACAUUGUUUUAAUUGAAGACCAAACUCGUAACUCAAAUAUUCGUCUCCGCGAUCAGAUCACAAAAACUUUAUUUUCUUGUUACGAUGAUUUUCCACUUCACUCUGAAAUUCUUUGAACCUUUCAACUAUUUCAGACUUAUGUUUCAUCAAGUAGAUAUACCAAUAUCUGCUCAAAUCAUCUGUGAAGGUCAGAAAAUAACGAUACCCGCCGCGAGCUUCAACAUUCAUCGGGCCACAUACAUCUGUAUGUAUGAUUUCCAACAAAUCCGUUGCUCGCUCCAUUGUUCCGGAGAACGGAGUCUUAGUCAUCUUGCCCAUGAGGCAUGGUUUGCAAGCAUCAAGUGAUUCAUAAUCAAGUGAUCCCAAAAUCCCAUCAGCAUGGAGUUUCUUCGUGCACUUUACACCAAUAUGACCUAAAUGGCAGUGCCACAAAUAAGUUGCACUAUCAUUAUUAACUUUGCAUCUUUUGGCUUCAAUAUUAUGAAAUAUGUGUAUUAUUACGAUCGAGAUCCAACAAACCAUUUUCGUUGGUGUGUAUGACCAUAGAAGGUUUUAUUCAUGUAAACAGAACAACAUUUGUUCUCUAACUUAAAUGAAUAACCGUAUUGCAAUAAACAUGAUCAAAUCAUAUUCAUGCUCAACUCAAACACCAAAUAACAUUUAUUUAGGUUCAACACUAAUCCCGAAAGUAUAGGGACUGUGCGAUGAUGAUCAUAUCAAUCUUGGAACUACUUCCAACACUCAUCGUCACUUCCCCUUUAACUAGUCUUUGUUUAUUCUGUAACUCCUGUUUCGAGUUACUAAUCUUAGCAACCGAACAAGUAUCAAAUAGUCAGGGGCUACUAUAAACACUAGUAAAGUACACAUCAAUAAUAUGUAUAUCAAAUAUACUUAUGUUCACUUUGCCAUCCUUCUUAUCCGCCAAUCAAUUGGGGUAGUUUCGCUUCCAGUGACCAGUCUCUUUGCAGUAGAAGCACUUAGUCUCAGGCUUAGGACCAGACUUGGGUUUCUUCACUUGAGCAGCAACUUGCUUGCCGUUCUUCUUGAAGUUCCCCUUCUUUUCCCUUUGCCCUUUUUCUUGAAACUAGUGGUCUUGUCAAUCAUCAACACUUGAUGCUCUUUCUUGAUUUCUACCUUCGUUGAUUUCAACAUCACGAAGAGCUCGGGAAUCAUUUUCGUCAUCCCUUGCAUACUAUAGUUCAUCACGAAGUUCUAGCAACUUAGUGAUGGUGACUAGAGAAUUCUGUCAGUCACUAUCUUAUCUGGAAGAUUAACUCCCACUUGAUUCAAGCGAUUGAAGUACUCAGACAAUCUGAGCACAUGCUCACUAGUUGAGCGAUUCUCCUCCAUCUUUUAGCUAUAGAACUUGUUGGAGACUUCAUAUCUCUCAACUCGGGUAUUUGCUUGAAAUAUUAACUUCAACUCCUGGAACAUCUUAUAUGGUCCAUGACGUUCAAAAAAACGUCUUUGAAGUCCGAUUCUAAGCCAUAAAGCAUGGUGCACAAAACUAUCAAGUAGUCAUCAUAUUGAGCUUAGCUAAACGUUCAUAACGUCUGCAUCUGCUCCUGCAAUAGGUCUGUCACCUAGCGGUGCAUUAAGGACAUAAUUCUUCUGUGCAGCAAUGAGGAUAAACCUCAGAUCACGGAUCCAAUCCGCAUCAUUGCCACUAACAUUUUUCAACACAAUUUUCUCUAGGAACAUAUCAAAAUAAACAUAUGAAAACAACAACGCAAGCUAUUGAUCUUACAACAUAAUUUGCAAAAUACUACCAGGACUAAGUUCAUGAUAAAUUUAAGUUCAAUUAAUCAUAUUACUUAAGAACUCCCACUUAGACAGACAUCUCUCUAGUCAUCUAAGUGAUCACGUGAUCCAAAUCAACUAAACCAUAACCGAUCAUCACGUGAGAUGGAGUAGUUUUCAAUGGUGAACAUCUUAUGUUGAUCAUAUCUACUAUAUGAUUCACGCUCGACCUUUCGGUCUCCGUGUUCCGAGGCCAUAUCUGCAUAUGCUAGGCUCGUCAAGUUUAACCUGAGUAUUCCGUGUGUGCAAAACUGGCUUGCACCCAUUGUAGAUGGACGCAGAGCUUAUCACUCCCGAUCAUCACGUGGUGUCUGGGCACGACGAACUUUGGCAACGGUGCAUACUCAGGGAGAACACUUCUUGAUAAUUUAGUGAGAGAUCAUCUUAAAAUGCUACCGUCAAUCAAAACAUAAUAAGAUGUAUAACAGAUAAACAUCAUAUGCAAAAUAUGUGACAUGAUAUGGCCAUGAUCAUUUUGCGCCUUUGAUCUCCAUCUCCAAAGUACUGUCAUGAUCUCUAUCAUCACCGGCACGACACCAUGAUCUUCAUCAUCUUGAUCUAUAUCAAUGUGUCAUCACAUGGUUGUCUCACCAACUAUUGCUCUUGCAACUAUUGCUAUCGCAUAGCGAUAAAGUAAAGCAAUUAUUUGGCACUUGCAUCUUAUGCAACAAAGAGACAUCCAUAGGGCUUCUGUCAGUUGCCGAUAACUUCAACAAAACAUGAUCAUCUCAUACAACAACUUAUAUCUUAUCACGUCUUGACCAUAUCACAUCACAACAUGCCCUGCAAAAACAAGUUAGACGUCCUCUACUUUGUUGUUGCAAAUUUUACGUGGCUGCUACGGGCUUAGCAAGAACCGUUCUCACCUACGCAUCAAAAUCACAACGAUAGUUUGUCAAAUAGACUCCGUUUUAACCUUCGCAAGGACCGGGCGUAGCCACACUCGGUUCAACUAAAGUUGGAGAAACUGACACCCGCCAGCCACCUGUGUGCAAAGCACGUCGGUAGAACCAGUCUCGCGUAAGCGUACGCGUAAUGUCGGUAUGGGCCGCUUCAUCCAACAAUACCGCCGAACCAAAGUAUGACAUGCUGGUAGGCAGUAUGACUUAUAUCGUCCACAACUCACUUGUGUUCUACUCGUGCAUAUAACAUCAACGCAUAAAACCUAGGCUCGGAUGCCACUGUUGGGAACGUAGUAAUUUCAAAAAAUUUCCUACGCACACGCAAGAUCAUGGUGAUGCAUAGCAACGAGAGGGGAGAGUGUUGUCCACGUACCCUCUUAGACCGUAAGCGGAAGCGUUAUGACAACGCGGUUGAUGUAGUCGUACGUCUUCACGAUCCGACCGAUCCAAGCACCGAACGUACGGCACCUCCGAGUUCAGCACACGUUCAGCUCGAUGACGAUCUCCGGCCUCCGAUCCAGCGAAGCUCCGGAGAUGAGUUCCGUCAGCACGACGGCGUGGUGACGAUGAUGAUGUUCUACCGGCGCAGGGCUUCGCCUAAGCUCCGCGACGAUAUGACCGAGGUGGAAUAUGAUGGAGGGGGGCACCGCACACGGCUAAGGAACGAUCCGUAGAUCAACUUGUGUGUCUAUGGGGUGCCCCCCUGCCCCCGUAUAUAAAGGAGCAAGGGAGGAGGAGGCCGGCCCUAGGAGGAGGGCGCGCCAAGGGAGUCCUACUCCCACCGGGAGUAGGAUUCCUUCUUUCCUAGUCCAACUAGGUCAAGGGGGAAAAGAAGGGAAGUGGAGAAGGAAGGGAGAGGGGGGCCGCGCCCCAAACCCUUUGUCCAAUUCGGACUGGGCUUGGGAGGGGCGCGCGCCUCCUCCUGGCUCCUUCCCACUAAAGCCCAUUAAGGCCCAAUACUCUUCCCCGUAUUCCCGUAACUCCCCGGUACUCCGAAAAAUACCCGAAUCACUCGGAACCUUUCCGAACUCCGAAUAUAGUCGUUCAAUAUAUCGAUCUUUACGUCUCGACCAUUUCGAGACUCCUCGUCAUGUCCCCAAUCUCAUCCGGGACUCCGAACUCCUUCGGUACAUCAAAACUCAUAAACUCAUAAUAAAACUGUCAUCAAAACCUUAAGCGUG
rnacentral:lncRNA from 1 species